UGGUCAGUUUUCCGCGUCGUUGACAGAAAAGGGGCUGGCUGAAACGGAGGAAUCUACUUAGAAAAACUCGGCACUGACAUACUGCCCAGUGCGGGUGACAGCUACGGUACAGUCAGACAAGGAAGGAGUGCAGCAGCCCCCACCCUUUUCGUCUCAGUUGCCAUCUUUCAAGGCUUUUAAGAUUUACAACAUUACGUAAUUACACACUUGCAAGAGUUCAAGCCGUAUCAUUGUCCCAUUGCAGCCUGUAAUGGAGUGUCCUCUAAAAGUGAGAGAAGCGCCUUUUCGCCGGCUGAAGUUGAAGACACGGUAAAAUAACUGAAAAAAGACAAAGAACAUGGCGAAUUCGUUCGAGCAGAAGAUAACAUCUGUUCUUUGCAGACUAUCUGAGGCAAUUUAAACGAGAAGCAAUAAUCCUUCCUGAUGUUUGACUUCGUCUGGUAACGUAGCAAUGUCAACAAGAGGUGGUGAACGCAAAGUCACUGACUCCGCUGAAGUUUCUGACAGUUUUCUGAAAGUUCGUCUGCGAAAGCUACAGAUGGGAUCUUGGAGUAAAUUUGUACUGGCCAUCAAAUGCCCUAAAAGGAUGUCAAGUGUAUCAUCAUUAUAAUAAAAUUAAUAAAGUGGGCUAUCUACCGGGCUAUCUACCGGGC
rnacentral:lncRNA from 1 species